rnacentral:lncRNA from 10 species
GCCCUCUUUCCCAUCUCUGCAUCUCUCCUCUUAAAGAUCUGGCCCAAGCCUAUUCCUUUCUGACAUAUUUUCGUGCUGGAAGAAGGAUUCUGGGUCAGGAAGGCAGUAGCGUAUUUAGACUCGCCAGAGUGGAGAGCCAAGCAGCAAGGCGACUCUGGAGGACUACACGACUUUGAGCAACCUGUUUCAUUUCAUCUAGAAUUCAUGGACCAUAAGGGCUCCCGAAGAAAAGUCAGAAGCAACAUUGCUUAGUAUAUGGCAGAGAUCAAACUAUGGCCGAGGACUAGCUUGGGACUGCCUGUGCUUCUCAUUCCUGUCUGAGGAAAGGUGGGGAGGGCUCAGAAGUGCACAGAGAGAAGGUGUUCGAUAUUGUAUAAUGUUUGACCUGCAGCCAUCUGUUCACUCAACUUAUGCAUUUACUUUUGUUCAAGCAACAAAUAUCUCUGGCUUCCCUACUAUGCCAGACACUCUCCUAUAUACAGAGGUGGAGAAAAUAAACUCUGUUCUCAU